GGAAGUGUGGCAUAGUGGUUUGAGUGUUGGACUGCGACCCUGGAGAUCAGGGUUCAAUUCCCUGUUCCG